ACGAUUCUGUGCGAAAAACUACCACUUUUUUCCUAAUCCGUGGCAAAAAACUACCAAGUCGCGAAAUCGCUCGCUUGGCCCGCGCUAAGCACAAAUCUGACCGCUUGGGCCCACGAACCAGGUGCCACCCUGGCCAUCCUUCGCGCCGGAGCCGCACCCGCACGCGCGCGCCCGCUCCCGCCUCGCCGUCGUCGCUCCCACCUCGCCGUCGUCGUGCCCACCAAGCUCCUGGGGCCGGCCACUGCCGCGUGGCCGCCAGCGCCGCGCUGCUGCCCCCGCCGUGAGCGACGACGGCUGCCCCCGCCGUCGUCGUGCCCACCAAGCUCCUGCCGUCGCUGUUGCCCCCGCCGCGACCGCGCGAGAGAUUGCGUCGCCGUGAGGCAGAGCAGCGCGUCGCAGAGGAGGAGGUGGAGGGGCGGGCGGCUCCAGCGGUGACCCGCAGCGGCUCUGGCGGUUGCAACAACGACCCGUGGCGACUCCAGAGCUGACCCGCGGCGAGCGGCUCCAGCGCUGACCCGUGGCGAGCGGCUCCAGCGCUGACCCGCGGCUGCCGCGGCGAGCGACUCCAGCGGUGAAGGGCGGCGGCGGCAGGUGCAAGGAGCCCGGGCGGCCGGAGGCGGGGGCGUGGCCGCGGGCAUAGCAGGUGUGUGCGGGCAGGUGUUGGCGAGCGAGCGUGGUACGGGGACAGCGACCACGGUGCGCAUGGCGAGGGGCGGCCACGAGCGCCGCGGGCGCGCGCGUGCGGGUGCGGCUCGGAGCACGAGCUCCGGCGCGCGGCCACGGAGUAGAGGGGAAGCAGCGGGCGCUGACGAUGGCGAGCGAGCGUGG
rnacentral:rRNA from 1 species